rnacentral:rRNA from 1 species
AGUGAAUAGAUACCCAGGUAGUCCCAGCCGUAAACGAUGCGCGUUAGGUGUAUCGGUGACCACGAGUCAUCGAGGUGCCGAAGGGAAACCGUGAAACGUGCCGCCUGGGAAGUACGGUCGCAAGGCUGAAACUUAAAGGAAUUGGCGGGGGAGCACCACAACAGGUGGAGCCUGCGGUUUAAUUGGACUCAACGCCGGGCAGCUCACCGGAUAAGACAGCUGGAUGAUAGCCGGGCUGAAGACUCUGCUUGACUAGCUGAGAGGAGGUGCAUGGCCGUCGUCAGUUCGUACUGUGAAGCAUCCUGUUAAGUCAGGCAACGAGCGAGACCCACACCAACAGUUGCCAGCGUGUCCUCCGGGAUGACGGGGACACUGUUGGGACCGCCUCUGCUAAAGAGGAGGAAGGAAUGGGCAACGGUAGGUCAGCAUGCCCCGAAUUAUCCGGGCUACACGCGGGCUACAACGGGCAGGACAAUGGGUAUCGACACCGAAAGGUGAAGGCAAUCUCCUAAACCUGUCC